CAGGCUGGUACCUGUGUGAUGUGAGAACAAACUAUGGUGUGGACUUUGGUGAAUGUUGGCUCAACGUCUCUGCAGCGAGGGAUUGGCCCAAACCUGAGAGACCCAACAGUGAGAGAGUGAACAGGGUCAGUUGGGGAAUGAUCUUCCUGUACUGUGGACUGGGACUGACAGCAGCAGUGUUUGUUGUGUGAUUUCUUCUUCGUCUUUAUUCAUUCACUGUCUUGUCUAAGAAACAGAGUCCAGUGGAGCAAAUUCUAAAGAGUUUGAUCCCCAACUUAAUGAUUUUUAACAACAAUGAUAGCUGAACAGGGUCAGUUGGAUAUGGAUUACCCUCUACUGUGAACUGGGACUGACAGCAGCAGUGGUCGUUGUGUGGUUUCUUUGUCGCCUUUUAUUUAUUCCCUGUCUAAGAAACAAAGUCCUGUGGAGGAUUAUAGAAAGGUUACAGCUCAGCAGGAUCAGUGGAAACGGCUGAAACCCAUCCUGCCUGUUGUUCAGUAAGUGACUGUGAUAAAAGAGUCAGAGGAGAUAAACAGUAAUGGAGUUGAUCAAGGAAACCUUGUUCUUCACCUUUGUUGUCCAUAAUUUUCACAAGACGUCUCAUCAAACUCUGUCACUCAUUAGACAGAUCUGAAAUCUGCUGUGUGUUCACUUUACUGAAAUAAUGCUGAGAAACAUGUCGACUUCGUAACUCUGUGCAUUUUAUGUUGUUGCCUAUAUGAUUAAUAAGACAUGACAUUAACAUUGACAGUAUAUCCUGUAUAUGUAUUGCUCGCCUCUUAACUGGAGCACAUAAGACAGAGCACAUUACUCCCAUUCUGGCCUCCCUCCACUGGCUGCCUGUGCACUUUAGAGUUCAUCUUAAGAUUCUUUAAAUGGUCUCGCCCUGCCUUUCCUCUCUGAGCUGCUCCAUCCCCACGGUCCUGCCCGCUGCCUCCGGUCAGCUGACCAGCUGCUCCUGGAGGUACCGAGAGAAGCUCAGCUCUCCGCCAGCAGCAUUAUGUGCCCGCCUGCGACCGUCCUGCCAACAACAGGUGCUCUCAUCCCUGCCACCGGCCAGACUUUAGAUUCUCUGCGCUGACCUGAACCGGACCAUUUCCCGGGUUGGGUCGGCACUUGAUCAAGCAUUUGUGUGUGUGUGUGUGUGUGUGUGUGUGUGUGUUUUUGUAAUAACUCAAAAUAAUGACGGUGCUUCCAGCUACAAAAGGCGCAUCUCUCUCCUCCCUCCGCGUUGUUUGUGCCGCUGCAUGCUUUUACACAUGAGUGAGUGUCCUCGUGCAGAAAACGUGACUUCUCGUGCAUGUGACGUCACUCCCCGAGAUGCAAGAAGAAAAGCUGAAAUAAAUAUUUUUACUGAAUACUGAAAAUAAUAGUAACACACAGUGAUUUGAAUAAGUAAUUUUAAUCUGAUUAGUGGUUUGGAAAUAUUACCGUGUUAGAUUACUCCUCACUGAAAUAAGUGGUCAGAUUAGAGUAACGCGUUACCGGCAUCACUGAUUGUGUAGUGUAGGUGCAACAUGGAGCUUGAGAACGUCCGUUAUAACAGCCCACGUAUUGAAAAAAUGUCGGGUUUAAAUCGGGCUCAGGCUCAUAAUUACAGUUAAUGUGUCGGGCUCAACCACCAGAAUGUGACAGAGAGCUUAGGGCGUCGACCUGGCCUCCAAAUUGUUGUGCACCCAAUUCGACUGAGCAUCCAUCGAACGUGCUGAAACAAGUCUGAUCCAUGAGGGUCCCACCUCGCAUCCCAGAGGACUCAAAGGACCCAGACACCUCUGGAUACCCUCAGAGGUUCCGUGUCCAUGACCCGACAGGUCAGAGCCAAGUUCACUCCACAGUGUCGCCUCCAGGGAUCCGACAUGUUCCGUCACAUCGUAACAGAUGUUCAGAUGGAUUGGCAUUCUUAUUUAUUUUUUAUUUCUUGCAUGUAAAAACCACAGGAGCCGAUGAAACAGGUGUCAUAUCUCUUAUUGAUCAGAGCGUAAGAGAUGUGACAAGCUGCGAGCAGGGACAGCAAAAAAAUAAAUGAAUACAAUAAAAAUAUAAAAAUAAAGUGGAUUUGAGACCGAACAAUUCUUUGCUCAGCCAUUUUUUAUUUGGUUACUGAAACAUCUAUAAGAGCUUUGUUGGUUCUCCACUGUGUGCUGUUAGACAAGGAAUCAGUUGUGUGUGUGUGUGUGCAUGUGUGUGUGUUUGAGAUAAAAGCAACAGAAUCAAACCAAUAGAACAGAACCAAUAGCAUCCAGCCAAUAGAAUCAAAGCAAUAGAAUCAAAGCCAAACAGAACCUCCAUUCCAUCAAAGCAACAUUCCAUUCUGAUUUAACAGUAGGUCAACAGGACAACAUCUCUUCAGUCCAGCUCUUAGUCUACCACUGACACAGCUGUGAAAACGUGAGAGCACUAACACAACGAGAAGCGCAAAGAGAAAGUUGUCUGAUACGGACAAUUCUUUUCAGAGACAGCAGCAUUUUUCUGAGUCAGAUUAUACCAGGCGAAUAAAAUGGACACUAAGGACCACCACAGAGAAAUGUCUUGGCAAGGUCUUCAUCAAGAGGACGAAGACACAAAGUCGAGGCAGAAAAGGCCGAUACAUGUGUAUGAAAUCCCUCCCAACAGGGUAAAAGAAAUAACCACAGAGAUAGAGAAGCAGUUAAAAAGCAGCGGUGAUGAAACUGUUAGCAAUCCAAAGAUAGCUACUCAGCUGAGAGCUAACACCAGAAGUUUCAAACUGACCCCGAGGUGGAAAACGAGCUUCUUAGAGCUGAGCUCCAGGUGGAGAAGCAGAAGUUUCAAACUGACCUCGAGGUGGAGAAGGACAAACACGAGCUUCUUAGAGCUGAGCUCCAUGUGGAGAAGCAGAAGAACAAACUUCUCCAAGAAAAACUGGACAGAAUCAGUGAGCCACACCAUGAUAUCAGCCAAUGGUAUGAAACUGAAAUCAUGACGGUGAGACAACAUGCUGAAACUCUCCAGCAGGAGCUUGACGAGGAAGCCAAGGCUCACAAAAACUCAUUGCUGAAAUGCGUGGGGCUGCUUGACAGCGUUAAUGCUGAGUGGGCUGACCUCCGUCACAAGAUGACCAAAAAGGAGGAAUAUUAUAAGAGACAGCUGGAGGAGCUUGAAAAACAGCUUAAUAUUCAGAUCUCUCUCAACGUUGAGCUCUCCGAAAAGCUCGAGGUCUGAAAUUUUGGAUGAGACUCAAGUCCCUGAGGAGGAGCGAUGUGACCAGCAGGCGUCCACCUCCACUGCAGCAUUCCUUAAACCAGAGGUCUCAAACUCAAUUUACCUGGGGGCCACUGGAGGCAGAGUCUGGGUGAGGCUGGGCCGCAUCAGGUUUUCCACAAGAAAAGCUCAGAUAAAAACAUUCCAAUGUU